CCCAGACUGAAAGCAGCAGAACCGGGAAUCUGUCUCAUAGAACUCCUCUCCUCCAAGCAUUUAUUCCCAACAAGAGUCUGCUUCUGUUCAUUCUCCAGUGACUUCAGAACCCCCAGGAACAAAAUGUUAUUGGCAUCCUCUCCAGAAACAAAGAACAGCUGCAUCUGUUUGGGACAUUUCCCAGGCUGCUCCUUCCUCUGUGUGUGAAGGAUACUGUCGAUCUAUCAAUCCAGCCUUGAAGAGGGAGAUGGAGUCUCACCAGUUUCCUUCACCAGCACUCAUGCAGCUGCUGGGUAUGCCAGAACCAGAGGAUGAAGAUGGAAAGACAUUUUGCUGCUAGGAUGGAAAGAGCCUCAGGAGGAAGCCAACGUGAAGAGAAGUGUGCAG